UACGUAGGUGGCAAGCGUUGUCCGGAAUUAUUGGGCGUAAAGCGCGCGUAGGCGGUCCUUUAAGUCUGAUGUGAAAGCCCACGGCUCAACCGUGGAGGGUCAUUGGAAACUGGGGGACUUGAGUACAGAAGAGGAAAGCGGAAUUCCACGUGUAGCGGUGAAAUGCGUAGAGAUGUGGAGGAACACCAGUGGCGAAGGCGGCUUUCUGGUCUGUAACUGACGCUGAGGCGCGAAAGCGUGGGGAGCAAACAGG
rnacentral:rRNA from 1 species